AGAGUUUGAUCCUGGCUCAGGAUGAACGCUGGCGGCGUGCCUAAUACAUGCAAGUCGAACGAGAGCCAUUGUAGCAAUACGAUGGUUUCUAGUGGCGAACGGGUGAGUAACGCGUUGGUGAUCUGCCCCGAAGUGGAGGAUAACAGUCCGAAAGGACUGCUAAUACUCCAUGUGGCUGCAAGAGUUAGAGGUCUUGCUACCAAAGAAGCAAUUCGCUUCGGGAGGAGCCUGCGUCCCAUCAGCUAGUUGGUAGGGUAACGGCCUACCAAGGCUCAGACGGGUAGGGGACCUGAGAGGGUGACCCCCCACACUGGAACUGAAACACGGUCCAGACUCCUACGGGAGGCAGCAGUAGGGAAUAUUGCACAAUGGGCGAAAGCCUGAUGCAGCAACGCCGCGUGUACGAUGAAGGCCUUCGGGUUGUAAAGUACUUUUAUGAGGGAAGAGCAAGGACUGUACCUCAUGAAUAAGGAUCGGCUAACUACGUGCCAGCAGCCGCGGUAACACGUAGGAUCCAAGCGUUAUCCGGAUUUACUGGGCGUAAAGCGCGUGUAGGUGGUUUGUUAAGUUGGGUGUUAAAUCUCUCGGCUCAACUGAGAGGUGUCGCUCAAAACUAGCAGACUGGAGGACGGUAGAGGAAGGUGGAAUUCCGGGUGUAGUGGUGAAAUGCGUAGAUAUCCGGAGGAACACCAGUGGCGAAGGCGGCCUUCUGGACCGCUCCUGACACUCAAACGCGAAAGCUAGGGGAGCAAACGGGAUUAGAAACCCCGGUAGUCCUAGCUGUAAACGAUGUGAACUUGGUGUUGGUGGGGUAAAACCUGCCGGUGCCGCAGCAAACGCGAUAAGUUCACCGCCUGGGGACUACGGCCGCAAGGUUAAAACUCAAAGGAAUUGACGGGGGCCCGCACAAGCAGCGGAGCGU
rnacentral:rRNA from 1 species